rnacentral:rRNA from 1 species
AGGACGAACGCUGGCGGCGUGCUUAACACAUGCAAGUCGAGCGAGGCUCCUCUUUCGGGAGGUGGCCUAGCGGCGAACGGGUGAGUAACACGUGGGCAACCUGCCCUAGCUCUGGAAUAACCCCGGGAAACCGGGCUAAUACCGGAUACGACUUCGACCGACAUCGGCCGAGGUGGAAAGAUUUAUCGGCUAGGGAUGGGCCCGCGGCCUAUCAGCUUGUUGGUGAGGUAACGGCUCACCAAGGCAACGACGGGUA